AGAACUGGAGAGAGGAAGCGCAA
rnacentral:piRNA from 1 species